CGAUUUCUUCUCUCUUCUUCGUCUCUCCCUCCCUCCCCCACACAGCCCACCCCCACACGAGUCUCGAAACACACAUGCUUGCACCUGAUUUCCCGGCGGGUCGCAGCCGGUCGGUCGCGGAGUCAUUAGUAAUCGAGUUGUCCUACUAAAUCCAGCCCAUCUCCUUUCCCCCGAGGCUAUCAGAAGGCUCGCCCUUCUGGGGCUCGCAGCAGAAACUGCUUUCAUUUUAUUAUUAUUAUUAUUUUAACUGCGCAAAAAGGGGGUGGGAAAAUGAGGAACCUGGGGGCUGGCGGCGGGGCGGAGAUGGGAGAGCGAAGAACGCGAGGUAGGGGGUACUCACACAUUAGGAGAAGACAGGACCCCCUUCCUCUGCAGUCCGCCAGGAGUUUAGCAUCUUCAGGAAGAGAGAACGAGCAAGGUAAAAGAAGACGCUGUUUCCAAGGGGCUCUGACUCCUUGUCCUGUGUCCACCAGUGCCGCAAUACAAGAUCACAUCCAGAGCUCGCAGCCCAUCAAGAUCAAUGCAGCUUUGGGAUGGAACCUAAGGUCACCAGGCUAUAUGGCCAUCUACUGUUGAAGUACACUCACUGCUGAAUGACAUGCCUGCUGGGCACUGGUGGUGCAGGCUGCGAUAUAGGACUGUUAAAGCAGGACCAUGAAUCUCUGCUUGGCACUGGUACUCAUCCAGAAGCUCUGUCCACAGGCACUGGCCUGGGGAUAGAGACCAUCAGAAUCAGUUCCAUAUGUGACACUCAACUUCACACUGUGUCCCUGAUGUACAGUGAUUCCUUAAUGUUUUCCCAGUGUUGUAGGAAGGUUAAUAGAGGCAGCCCCUCAGCUACACAGGCAGGCCCUAAGUGGAUCACAUCUAGUUCAUAGUCACCAGGUCCUGUGAAAUCUUG
rnacentral:lncRNA from 1 species